UGCUGUAGAUAACCUCAGUAGACAUUUACCUACCUGACUGUCCUCCAAACGCCGGUGUCGGCCUGACACAUACAAAGAUUACUGCGACAAAGCGAGAGUGCGAACCCCCUUCACUUCCGUUUUAGCUAAAACGAGAGCGCUUUGGGUGGUCAGAGGUAUUUUAAAUCAUACCAGGCUUUCAGAUCAAAUCAGAGCUCAGUGAUUCCUCGGAUGCUGCAGGGAAGCACAGUGAACCAUCACACUGCGUGUCCUUCAACGGGGGAAGCCUAGCCUCAGGCCUUCAUGGCAGCAAACAACUGUCCUACUGACAUGUCCUGAAGCAAGAUGCUG
rnacentral:lncRNA from 15 species